rnacentral:rRNA from 1 species
AGAGUUUGAUCAUGGCUCAGAUUGAACGCUGGCGGCAGGCCUAACACAUGCAAGUCGAACGGUAACAGGAAGCAGCUUGCUGCUUUGCUGACGAGUGGCGGACGGGUGAGUAAUGUCUGGGAAACUGCCUGAUGGAGGGGGAUAACUACUGGAAACGGUGGCUAAUACCGCAUAACGUCGCAAGACCAAAGAGGGGGACCUUCGGGCCUCUUGCCAUCAGAUGUGCCCAGAUGGGAUUAGCUUGUUGGUGAGGUAACGGCUCACCAAGGCGACGAUCCCUAGCUGGUCUGAGAGGAUGACCAGCCACACUGGAACUGAGACACGGUCCAGACUCCUACGGGAGGCAGCAGUGGGGAAUAUUGCACAAUGGGCGCAAGCCUGAUGCAGCCAUGCCGCGUGUAUGAAGAAGGCCUUCGGGUUGUAAAGUACUUUCAGCGGGGAGGAAGGUGUUGUGGUUAAUAACCGCAGCAAUUGACGUUACCCGCAGAAGAAGCACCGGCUAACUCCGUGCCAGCAGCCGCGGUAAUACGGAGGGUGCAAGCGUUAAUCGGAAUUACUGGGCGUAAAGCGCACGCAGGCGGUCUGUCAAGUCGGAUGUGAAAUCCCCGGGCUCAACCUGGGAACUGCAUUCGAAACUGGCAGGCUUGAGUCUUGUAGAGGGGGGUAGAAUUCCAGGUGUAGCGGUGAAAUGCGUAGAGAUCUGGAGGAAUACCGGUGGCGAAGGCGGCCCCCUGGACAAAGACUGACGCUCAGGUGCGAAAGCGUGGGGAGCAAACAGGAUUAGAUACCCUGGUAGUCCACGCCGUAAACGAUGUCUACUUGGAGGUUGUGCCCUUGAGGCGUGGCUUCCGGAGCUAACGCGUUAAGUAGACCGCCUGGGGAGUACGGCCGCAAGGUUAAAACUCAAAUGAAUUGACGGGGGCCCGCACAAGCGGUGGAGCAUGUGGUUUAAUUCGAUGCAACGCGAAGAACCUUACCUGGUCUUGACAUCCACGGAACUUUCCAGAGAUGGAUUGUGCCUUCGGGAACCGUGAGACAGGUGCUGCAUGGCUGUCGUCAGCUCGUGUUGUGAAAUGUUGGGUUAAGUCCCGCAACGAGCGCAACCCUUAUCCUUUGUUGCCAGCGGUCCGGCCGGGAACUCAAAGGAGACUGCCAGUGAUAAACUGGAGGAAGGUGGGGAUGACGUCAAGUCAUCAUGGCCCUUACGACCAGGGCUACACACGUGCUACAAUGGCGCAUACAAAGAGAAGCGACCUCGCGAGAGCAAGCGGACCUCAUAAAGUGCGUCGUAGUCCGGAUUGGAGUCUGCAACUCGACUCCAUGAAGUCGGAAUCGCUAGUAAUCGUGGAUCAGAAUGCCACGGUGAAUACGUUCCCGGGCCUUGUACACACCGCCCGUCACACCAUGGGAGUGGGUUGCAAAAGAAGUAGGUAGCUUAACCUUCGGGAGGGCGCUUACCACUUUGUGAUUCAUGACUGGGGUGAAGUCGUAACAAGGUAACCGUAGGGGAACCUGCGGUUG